rnacentral:rRNA from 1 species
GACGAACGCUGGCGGCGUGCUUAACACAUGCAAGUCGAACGGAAAGGCCCUGCUUUUGUGGGGUGCUCGAGUGGCGAACGGGUGAGUAACACGUGAGUAACCUGCCCUUGACUUUGGGAUAACUUCAGGAAACUGGGGCUAAUACCGGAUAGGAGCUCCUGCUGCAUGGUGGGGGUUGGAAAGUUUCGGCGGUUGGGGAUGGACUCGCGGCUUAUCAGCUUGUUGGUGGGGUAGUGGCUUACCAAGGCUUUGACGGGUAGCCGGCCUGAGAGGGUGACCGGCCACAUUGGGACUGAGAUACGGCCCAGACUCCUACGGGGGGCAGCAGUGGGGAAUGUUGCACAAUGGGCGGAAGCCUGAUGCAGCAACGCCGCGUGCGGGAUGACGGCCUUCGGGUUGUAAACCGCUUUCGCCUGUGACGAAGCGUGAGUGACGGUAAUGGGUAAAGAAGCACCGGCUAACUACGUG